rnacentral:rRNA from 1 species
GAUGAACGCUAGCGAUAGGCUUAACACAUGCAAGUCGAGGGGCAGCAUGGUCUUAGCUUGCUAAGACUGAUGGCGACCGGCGCACGGGUGCGUAACGCGUAUGCAACUUGCCUCACAGAGGGGGAUAACCCGUCGAAAGACGGACUAAUACCGCGUACACUUGGGAUAGGGCAUCCUGACCCAAGGAAAUGAAAUUCGCUGUGAGAUAGGCAUGCGUCCCAUUAGCUAGUUGGUGAGGUAACGGCUCACCAAGGCAACGAUGGGUAGGGGAACUGAGAGGUUGAACCCCCACACUGGUACUGAGACACGGACCAGACUCCUACGGGAGGCAGCAGUGAGGAAUAUUGGUCAAUGGGCGAGAGCCUGAACCAGCCAAGUCGCGUGAAGGAUGACUGUCUUAUGGAUUGUAAACUUCUUUUAUACGGGAAUAACAAGAGUCACGUGUGGCUCCCUGCAUGUACCGUAUGAAUAAGCAUCGGCUAACUCCGUG